rnacentral:rRNA from 1 species
AGGGCACCACCAGGAGUGGGGCCUGCGGCUUAAUUUGACUCAACACGGGAAAACUCACCCGGCCCGGACACCGUAAGGAUUGACAGACUGAGAGCUCUUUCUUAAUUCGGUGGGUGGUGGUGCAUGGCCGUUCUUAGUUGGUGGAGCGAUUUGUCUGGUUAAUUCCGAUAACGAACGAGACUCUGGCCUAUUAAAUAGACGGUAUAUCGAAAAGUAUAUCGCACUUCUUAGAGGGACAAGCGGCGUCUAGCCGCAUGAAAUAGAGCAAUAACAGGUCUGUGAUGCCCUUAGAUGUCCGGGGCUGCACGCGCGCUACACUGAAAGAAUCAGAGUGCGCUUUGCCUAGUUCGGAAGAACUGGGUAACCCAAGUAAAUUCUUUCGUGCUUGGGAUAGGGAAUUGCUAUUAUUUCCCUUCAACGAGGAAUUCCCAGGAAAUGCGGGUCAUAAGCUCGUGUCGAUUACGUCCCUGCCCUUUGUCCACGCCGCCCGUCGCUGCUACCGAUUGGAUGACUUAUGGA